UGGGGAAUAUUGGACAAUGGGCGAAAGCCUGAUCCAGCCAUGCCGCGUGUGUGAAGAAGGUCUUCGGAUUGUAAAGCACUUUAAGUUGGGAGGAAGGGCAUUAACCUAAUACGUUAGUGUUUUGAAGUUACCGACAGAAUAAGCACCGGCUAACUCUGUGCCAGCAGCCGCGGUAAUACAGAGGGGGCAAGCGUUAAUCGGAAUUACUGGGCGUAAAGCGCGCGUAGGUGGUUUGUUAAGUUGGAUGUGAAAUCCCCGGGCUCAACCUGGGAACUGCAUUCAAAACUGACUGACUAGAGUAUGGUAGAGGGUGGUGGAAUUUCCUGUGUAGCGGUGAAAUGCGUAGAUAUAGGAAGGAACACCAGUGGCGAAGGCGACCACCUGGACUAAUACUGACACUGAGGUGCGAAAGCGUGGGGAGCAAACA
rnacentral:rRNA from 1 species